ensembl:rRNA 5S_rRNA 5S ribosomal RNA
GUCUAUGGCCAUACCACCCUGAACGCGCCCAAUCUUUUCUGAUGUUGGAAGCUAAGCAGGGCCGGGCCUGGUUAGUACUUGGAUGGGAAAAAGCAAAAGAAGUAGGGUUGAGGCA